rnacentral:rRNA from 1 species
AUACGGAGGGUGCAAGCGUUGUUCGGAUUUAUUGGGCGUAAAGCGAGUGUAGGCGGUUUGACAAGUCGAAUGUGAAAUCCCGAGGCCCAACCUCGGAACUGCAUCCGAAACUGUCAGGCUAGAGUCCCGGAGAGGGUGGCGGAAUUCCCGGUGUAGGGGUGAAAUCCGUAGAUAUCGGGAGGAACACCAGUGGCGAAGGCGGCCACCUGGACGGUGACUGACGCUGAGACUCGAAAGUGUGGGUAGCAAACAGGAUUAGAAACCCCUGUAGUCC